AGUCGAACGAGAGAUGAGGAGCUUGCUCUUCAAAUCGAGUGGCGAACGGGUGAGUAACGCGUGAGGAACCUGCCUCAAAGAGGGGGACAACAGUUGGAAACGACUGCUAAUACCGCAUAAGCCCACGGCUCGGCAUCGAGCAGAGGGAAAAGGAGCAAUCCGCUUUGAGAUGGCCUCGCGUCCGAUUAGCUAGUUGGUGAGGUAAUGGCCCACCAAGGCGACGAUCGGUAGCCGGACUGAGAGGUUGAACGGCCACAUUGGGACUGAGACACGGCCCAGACUCCUACGGGAGGCAGCAGUGGGGAAUAUUGCACAAUGGGGGAAACCCUGAUGCAGCGACGCCGCGUGGAGGAAGAAGGUCUUCGGAUUGUAAACUCCUGUUGUUGAGGAAGAUAAUGACGGUACUCAACAAGGAAGUGACGGCUAACUACGUGCCAGCAGCCGCGGUAAAACGUAGGUCACAAGCGUUGUCCGGAAUUACUGGGUGUAAAGGGAGCGCAGGCGGGAGAACAAGUUGGAAGUGAAAUCCAUGGGCUCAACCCAUGAACUGCUUUCAAAACUGUUUUUCUUGAGUAGUGCAGAGGUAGGCGGAAUUCCCGGUGUAGCGGUGGAAUGCGUAGAUACCGGGAGGAACACCAGUGGCGAAGGCGGCCUACUGGGCACCAACUGACGCUGAGGCUCGAAAGUGUGGGUAGCAAACAGGAUUAGAUACCCUGGUAGUCCACACCGUAAACGAUGAUUACUAGGUGUUGGGGGAUUGACCCCUUCAGUGCCGCAGUUAACACAAUAAGUAAUCCACCUGGGGAGUACGACCGCAAGGUUGAAACUCAAAGGAAUUGACGGGGGCCCGCACA
rnacentral:rRNA from 1 species